UUUAGUGGCGGACGGGUGAGUAACACGUGAGCAACCUACCUUCGAGAGGGGAAUAACGGCUGGAAACGGUCGCUAAUACCGCAUAACAUACUGGAGGGACAUCCCUUUGGUAUCAAAGAUUUAUCGCUCGGAGAUGGGCUCGCGUCCGAUUAGGUAGUUGGUGAGGUAACGGCUCACCAAGCCGACGAUCGGUAGCCGGACUGAGAGGUCGAACGGCCACAUUGGGACUGAGACACGGCCCAGACUCCUACGGGAGGCAGCAG
rnacentral:rRNA from 1 species